rnacentral:rRNA from 1 species
CAAAGGCGCCAUGGCCGCUUUAUCACUUUGAUCCUGGCUCAGAACGAACGCUGGCGGCAGGCUUAACACAUGCAAGUCCAGCGCCCCGCAAGGGGAGCGGCAGACGGGUGAGUAACGCGUGGGAACGUACCCUUUACUACGGAAUAACGCAGGGAAACUUGUGCUAAUACCGUAUGUGCCCUUCGGGGGAAAGAUUUAUCGGUAAGGGAUCGGCCCGCGUUGGAUUAGCUAGUUGGUGGGGUAAGGCCUACCAAGGCGACGAUCCAUAGCUGGUCUGAGAGGAUGAUCAGCCAGAUUGGGACUGAGACACAGCCCAAACUCCUACAGGAGGCAGCAGUGGGGAAUAUUGGACAAUGGGCGCAAGCCUGAUCCAGCCAUGCCGCGUGAGUGAUGAAGGCCCUAAGGUUGUAAAGCUCUUUCACCGGAGAAGAUAAUGACGGUAUCCGGAGAAAAAACCCCGGCUAACUUC